GAUCCCAGGGACGCCCCCACAGGUAGACGAAGAGGGUCCAGAGAAAGGUGGGGAUUCCCUAACCCCUUCUUUCUUGGCACAGACAGGCAGAGAACACCUCUUUUCUCACCCCUGGGCAGCCCCAGGAAGUCAAUCCUUCCACUAUUCCUGCUCCGUGCCUCUCUUCCCUCUGCCCAGAUUCCUGGGAGACUCAAAACCCUGUUCAACUCUCUCUGGGCUAGCUGCUCCCCUCCCCAAGAGGAUUUCUCUCCAGAGCUGGUAUCAUCGCUUAAUGAUGUUCCACCAACAAGGGGAAGGUGGCAUCUGUGCUGUGCCUGUCAUUCAUUGAGAACAGUUUGUUUUCUGCUUAUGGAAUCACAAAAAUAUUUAAUCUGAAGCUUCAGUGGUGCAGCCGUCCUUGAGGCUGCAGACCAUAGGAUCCUUCCUUCUCUGUCUGGAUGCACUGGAGGGCCAGCAUUCUCGGAGGUGGCCAGGGUCCUCUGAGAAGCCAGCGCCCAAGUGGUACCUGAGUCCAGUGAACGGCAAGUUUCUUUUCUGGGAGCUGCUAUCACUGAAUACAUAAAGAAAUUGAGCCUAUAUGAUUUCAAUCUUCACCUUCUGAUGCUGAUGAAACAGGAUUCUAUGCAGAGAAAAUCCUCUCCAGUCAAGUAAUUGCAUCCAUUUCAUCUUCCCAGCCCUCCUCUAGAUGGGAGGUGGAGGUGUGUGUACCAAUCUCUUAAUUCAGAAAUGAGACAAGAGGAGGAAAAAGGAGUUCCGGAGGACAGUGGGGACCCCAGCCAGAGCCUGGGGACUUGGCUGCCUUGGAACCAGAACCUGGCCCCUCAGAGGAGUUGCAGAAUUUCGAUAGAGGAGUGGCAGGAGGUGUACUGGCUGAAGAGGAGGCCCAAGGAACUCCUUUUCAUACAUCAAAACUGAGCUUAUCACCUCUACCCUGAAGUCAUCCUGGACAUCACUGGUCCCAGUUAAUCACUCACUUAUCUUUGCCAUCCUUGACCUGGGAAGAGAACGUUGCCCUCAUUGGUCUGGAAUCAGCAGGUACCUCAUGGCUGGAGGUGUAUUUUCAGGUGGG
rnacentral:lncRNA from 1 species